rnacentral:rRNA from 1 species
UACGUAGGGGGCAAGCGUUGUCCGGAAUCAUUGGGCGUAAAGAGCGCGUAGGCGGCCCUGUAAGUCCGCUGUGAAAGUCAAGGGCUCAACCCUUGAAUGCCGGUGGAUACUGCAGGGCUAGAGUCCGGAAGAGGCGAGUGGAAUUCCUGGUGUAGCGGUGAAGUGCGCAGAUAUCAGGAGGAACACCGAUGGCGAAGGCAGCUCGCUGGGACGGUACUGACGCUGAGGCGCGAAAGCGUGGGGAGCAAACAGG